rnacentral:lncRNA from 12 species
UCAAAUUUUUUAUCUGGUAUUAAACAAAGUAAUCUUACAUUCACCAUUUCUCUCAUUUUAAAUAACAUCUUGGAUUUAAAAAAUAUAUAUAUUUAGGUAGCCAAUAAUGUUGUGGAACAGAGCCAGAAAAUUACAAUAACAUUGAACAUGGUUAAUACAAAAUACACUAAAUACAACUAGUAAGUUGUCAAUCUCUCACAACCUGUAGUUUUUGGUCCAUUAGAUUGAAACUGCAAUGGGUCAAAGGCUGGUUGGGGUAAAACGCUUCACAAACACACAUGGGCGGUAAUGAUUAUGGAAGCUGUCCAAACUCUAGUGCGAUGAAAGCCAUUGAACUGAUAUUGUGGCUGUGGCCGAACACUAUUGAUCCAGCAGAGGAGCAGGACAGUUGAUGGCCAAAAUCAACAAGAUUCAAAAUUUGGUUUUAUAUGCAAAAUGUGAAAGCUAGGCAGUGAUUAUGCAAAAGCACAGACCUGCGGAGUGCUUCAGAUGAACCGCACCUUUCGUGAGUGCAAGCUGAAACCAGAGAUGCUGGGAUAGCUGUGAAGGGCUGGCUUUCAGUGUUGUCUUCUUUCCUCCUCCCUUUCCUCUUCAUUCACAUAAACCAGGCAGGACUAGGUGUCAACGCAUUAACAUACAAUGCUGUUGGCAUUUUUUUUUUUUUUACGUAAUACGUACUCGAGCAGCCAGGUACUUAUAGACUCACAAGGUUAGUGAGAUGAAAGACCUCGUGCCUCUUCAGCCGGAUGCACUACGGAUUUUCUCUUUUCCCAACCAAGGUUUAACUCUGAGAGCUGGUGAAUCGUCCUGUGAGCUGCAAGCCAUCAGAAUAUAAAACACAGUGGACUUCAGUGAGAAAAAUAGUCAUUAAAAAUUAUAUUUUCGUUGGGAAAAAAUCUACUUUUCUCGUGUCUGCGAAGAAAACUGCUUUUCAACAAAGGUGUCCAGCUGGAUCUAUUCUGCCAUGAACGGUCAGCGUGUGUCAGACGGUCGGCGCAGAUGCUGGAAAUCUGCUGCCUGGAUCCUCACCUGCCUGCUGGCUUCGUUCUUACUGAUCGCCGUCACCAGCUUCCUUCCAAACGAAGAUAUCAAACUCCAGCGAAGAUCAGCUUCCUGUAAGUAUCAUUUGAAAGUAAACCUUUGAAUUUCCUGCAACUUUUCAUAAGCAACUUCCUAGAAGCCACACAAAACACC